rnacentral:lncRNA from 1 species
CUGCCUUCAGUGUUGAUCCUUUAUUCUUUCUAUCUGUCAGGUGCACAAGAUUACCCUCCUUUUUUAGCCUUCUGUCUUUCUUGUCACCAACCAUUCCUACUUGGUGGCCAUGUACUUGGAAAAAGGCCGCAUGAUCUUUCUGGCUCCACUCAGUGUCUAAGGCACCCUGCUUCCUUUGCUUGCAUCCCACAGACUAUUUCCCUCAUCCUAUUUACUGCAGCAAAUCUCUCCUUAGUUGAUGAUACUGUGUUUAUCUCCCUUUAAAACCCUACCUAUCCUGAAUGGUCUGUCAUUGUCUGCCUUU